GUCGAGAAUAAUUCACAAUGGGGGAAACCCUGAUGGUGCAACGCCGCGUGGAGGAUGAAGGUCUUCGGAUUGUAAACUCCUGUCAUCUGGGAGUAAGACCUGACGGUGAAUAGCCGGCAGGGUUGAUAGUACCAGAAGAGGAAGGGACGGCUAACUUCGUGCCAGCAGCCGCGGUAAUACGAAGGUCCCAAGCGUUGUUCGGAAUCACUGGGCGUAAAGGGAGCGUAGGCGGCGUGGUAAGUCAGAUGUGAAAGCCCGGGGCUCAACCUCGGAACUGCAUCCGAUACUGCCAUGCUUGAGGGCUGGAGAGGUAACUGGAAUUCUCGGUGUAGCAGUGAAAUGCGUGGAUAUCGAGAGGAACACUCGUGGCGAAGGCGAGUUACUGGACAGCAUCUGACGCUGAGGCACGAAGGCCAGGGGAGCGAAAGGGAUUAGAUACCCUAGUAGUCC
rnacentral:rRNA from 1 species